GACAGAGGAUGCAAGCGUUAUCCGGAAUGAUUGGGCGUAAAGCGUCUGUAGGUGGCUUUUUAAGUCCGCCGUCAAAUCCCAGGGCUCAACCCUGGACAGGCGGUGGAAACUACCAAAGCUGGAGUACGGUAGGGGCAGAGGGAAUUUCCGGUGGAGCGGUGAAAUGCGGUAGAGAUCGGAAAAGAACACCAAACGGCGAAAGCACUCUGCUGGGCCGACACUGACACUGAG
rnacentral:rRNA from 1 species